rnacentral:sRNA from 1 species
GAAACCCAGCUAUACGCUGUUCAAAGAGACUCUGGACAUAAGCGAGAAGCUUUUGGAAAAACAAUUCGAAUUCAACGAUGAGAUGAAGCAAAUUCAGCAGAACGUGAUGUCGGAGUUGAAAUCUGUGAAAAAAGAACUGAAACAGGCGACAUCAAUUAAGGAUCUUCUUGAGAUUCUCGAAAUAAUCCAGAAGAUUUUUAAAAAACAAGACGAAUUUCAGCAAGUCCAGGAAAAUCAAAACAAAUCGAUCGAAAAUUUGAAUUCGGAAUUGAAGACUGUCAAAGCAGAGCUGAAUGAGACGAAAAAGCAACAAGAGUCUCAGGAAAAAUUGAUCGACAAUUCGGAUAAAAACUUGAAACUGAUUUUAGAAUCGAUAUUGAAAUUUCAGAAAAGUCAAGAUCAGAUUAUGAUGAAGAUUAUGGAAGGAUCAGCUGUGCAAGACGUCCCACUUGGAACUGUAGAAUUGACAAAAAUUGACCCAUUUUUUGAGAUUUUGGUUAUCUGGACCGAAUCGUGUGGCAUAUUCGCGUCUGAAAACCACUGGAAACUUCGCGUGUGCGGAUCGGAUACAAUUCGACACAUCAAACUUCGCAUCAAUUCACUUGCAAAAGUAGACAUCAGCUCGUUCAGAAUGGUGCUUCGUGGUUGGUUGGUUUCAAAGUAGAUUUAAAAAUAAAAUUCGAAUUUCAGGAAAACUUCUCGAAGACCACCACUCUCUCGCCUACUACAACAUUCAAGAAGGCGCAUUAAUUUGGCUAUACUCUCGUUGAAUCAUAAUUAUUCUAAUUUUCAUUCACUUUUUUCAAGAUAUUGUUAUUUUGCGAAUAAAUAAUUGUUAACUAAAAUUGUUCGCUUUUCACAGAUUUUUUUUAAAAAUGAUUCUGCAAUCAUUUGGAUAUUUGAUUUACUCAAAAAUAAAAGCAACUUUCUUGGUUUUCGGUUCUUGUUCAGUUUUUAGAGAGUUUUUUCUCGAAUUUACCUGGGAAAUUAGAAAAGUUAACUAGGAACUUCUUUGCAUUUCAAAAAUUAUCAAAAAGCUUUUUUUUUUCAGAUUUAAAAAUGUCGGAGACAAGCAGUUUGAUGUCUCAAUUCCAAAAACUUCGCGUUGAAACUUCCAAGAUAUACAAUGAAUUCACAGAGGUGAGAAUAAUAAUAAUAAUUUAUUACGCUCGCUGGGAGACGUGAAGGAAUACAGAAUACAAAAGUUAUCAUUGUUCGCUUGAACUAGAAUUGGUGCAGUCGGGCAGUUGUUUCCAUUCCAUUAGAAUGUUGUCCUUGUCCUUGCUUGUCCUUGCGCAGACUCCCCCAUAGUGGGCGAACGAUUCCCGAGUGAAAAAAAAGAUUUUGAAAAAACACGAUUGUCAAAAAACCCAGAAAAAUCAAAACAGGGUGAUCGAAAAUUUGAUAUUGGAUUUGGAGAUGGUCAAAAAUGAGACUAGUGAUAUGAAAAAGCAACAAGAGACUCAGAUUUUGAAGGAACAAGACGAAUUUCAAGAUGAGAUUAGGCAAGAAUUUCUGAAAAUCCAGGAAAAUGAAAACAAAUUGAUCGAAAAGUUGAUGUCGGAAUUGAAAACUCUCAAAACAGAGCUGAAUGAGACUAAAAAUCAAAUAAGUGACCUGCAUAAUGCAACAAAGCAACAGGAGUCUCAGGCACAAUCGAUGAAUGAUCUUCUAACCAAGAAUUCGAAUAAUAAUCUGAAAAUGAUGCUGAAAAUUCAGGAAGGUCAAGAUCGGAUUAUGAUGAAGAUUCAAGAAGGAGCUGCUGUGAAAGACGUCCCAAUUGAAUCUGGAGAAUUGGCAAAGAAUGACUCAAUGUUUAAGAUUUUUGUUUCCUGGUCCAUUCCGGGUGGCAUAUUCGUGUCUGAAAACCGCAGGAAACUACCAGUGUACGAAUCGAACACAAUUCGACAAAUCAAACUGCGCAUCAAUUCACUUGUAGGAAUAGACAUCGGCUCGUUCAGCUCGUACUGUGAUGGUCGGUUGUUUUCGAAAUUGCUUUUUAAAAUAAAAUUUGCAUCUCAGAUAAAAUUCUCGAAGACGACCACACUCUCGCUCACUACAACAUUUCGUACAACAAUUCGCGUAUUCUCAUAAUUCUCCAUUUUUGCUCAUUUUCAACUUGAAUUUCACCGUUAAUGACAAUUAAUGAAUCUUUUUUUGUUUCAGAAUCCUCAAGUUCAUGGAAUUCUCCAGCUCAUAAUUUUUUAUCGAUUUUUUUAAAUUAUUGCCGAUACUAAAGUUCCCGGCAGUUUGCGAAUAAAUAAUUGUGAAAAUCCAAGAAAAUCAAAACAAAUUGUUCGAAAAUUUGAUGUCGGAAUUGAAAACUGUCAAAACAGAGCUGAUUGAGACGAAAAAUCAAAUAAAUGGUCUUCCUACCAAGAUUUCGGAUAACAAUCUGGAAAUGAUACUGAAAAUUCAGAAAAGUCAAGAUCAGAUGAAGAUUCAGGAAGGAGAAUUUGCGAAGAAGAUCGAAGAAUCAGUUGCACCUGUGAAAACACCGCUGGAAGCCCCAAUUGAAGAUAAAAAAUUGGAUAAUAAAAAACCAUUUUUCAAGAUUACUGUACAUUUGCAUGGAGGUCCUAAUGCAUCCGUAUAUGGAAGAAAGUACAAUCAUCUCGUGUUCGAUGCGCAUACGAUUCGUGAUCUUAAAGUGCGGAUCAAGGCACUUAUUAUGCAGUCCAGUCCAAUAAAACUGAGAACCGAAUUGUACAGAUUGUUCUUUGUUUGUUAGUUUAAAUCCCCCUUUCUUCAUAAUUUUUUAAUUAUACUUUCAGAUACACUUCUCGAAGACCACCAAACUAUCGCUUAUUACAAAUUCAAGAAGGCUCAACACUUGACCUGAUUCCGCUAUAAUUUUUUGAAUUUUAUCGAUUUUUUCUUGUGAAUAAUUUAUAGCUCCCUCACUUUAUUUGCCGAUUGAAAAAAUUAAAACAUAUUUUUCGAUUUUCACAUAUUUAAUUAUUUAAAAUUAUUUUUGCAAUCAUUUGGAUAUUUCCUUGAUCAAAAUUCAAAACUGCAAAAAAACUUUUUUAAAAAAAUUUUUGCGCGUAAUUUUAAGUGCAAAGUCUGCAAACACGUUGCGUACUCCGCCACCUACCGUAGUUUCCAAUGAAAAUUUGCCUGAACAUCUUUUCCGGUUUUCUUGGUUCUUGUUCAGUUUUUUUUUUUGAAAAGUUCCAAUGAUUUUUCGAGUUUCUUUUCCGUAUUUUCCCUUAAAAAUAUCGAAAUUAACUAAAAAAUGUGGUUUUAUUUGCAAAAAUUGUCUAGAAUCAGCUUUGUUAAGCGGUUUAACACGAAAACCUUUCAAAAUGUUUUUUUUUUCAGAUUUCAAAAUGUCGGGGCCAAGCGAUUUGAUGUCUGAAUUUCGAAAACUUCGCGUUGAAGCUUCCAAGAUUCAGAAUGAGUUCAAAGAG